GUUAACUUCUCCUCUCCUUCUUCUUCUCCCUGAAAUUAAGCCACGUAAAUGGCAAACUCCAAGUUUUCUUUCUCUUCUUCUUCAUUUACAAAACCCAUCUCAAUUCAGAAAAUGGAUGGAAUCACCAAGAAACCCAAAAUCAAUUUCAUUCACUUCUCUUUCUGUGAUUUCGAAACACCACCACCACAGCAACCACCUUCGACCACCACCACCACAACGAACCACCUUCGACCACCACCACCACAGCAACCACCUUCGACCACCACACCUCUCUCGCUCUCUUCCUUUUCCCCCGCGCGCAUCCCCUGCCCCCUUCCCCUGCUUCCUCCUCCCUCGCCCCACCGCACCAACACCACACCACACACCACCAACUCCAGUCACCCUCACCACCUCGCCAACCACCUCCGCCCUCAAUUCCGGCGAGCCACCGCCCAAAACCACCUUGAAACACCCCCGAAUUUUCCCCUGUUUCGCCCACUUCGCGCUUCAUUUUCUCGCCCCCUCGCCGCUCCGCCGCCACCAAACCACCGCCAUCACCGUCGCCCUCAUCGUCGAGCCACCCCAGCCAACCCCCUUUCCUCUUUCCUCUUCCCUCCUCCUCGACCGUUUUCUUUCCCCCUCCCUGUUCGUUCGUGUCUGUUCCCAGCCAAAACCAAAAAUAAUUUUUGGUUUUGAUUUUAUUCUCCUUUAAAACCCACAAUUGAAAUUGGGCCAAAUUGAUUUGGGCUUUUGGAAAUUGGACUCGGAGCUCAGGACGAACGAACCAACGAAAAUCCCUUAGCAAAGUCGCGGAAUCAAGGUACCGCGGGGAACGAUGGAAACGAUUAGUGGCGAGGAAAUUUACUAUAAUAAUGUUCACUUAGUUUAUGCUUAAUGUUGUAAUAGUUUAAUUAAAGACUUUUAAUAAGUUAUGUACCUUUAUGUUGGUUUAUAAAAAGGACUAUUAUAUUAUUUUGGGAGUUCUAAUGGAUUAUGA